rnacentral:rRNA from 1 species
ACUCAAAUGAAUUGACGGGGGCCCGCACAAGCGGCGGAGCAUGCGGAUUAAUUCGAUGCAACGCGAAGAACCUUACCAAGGCUUGACAUGAACCGGUAAAGCGUAGAAAUACGCUCCCCACUUGUGGCCGGUUUACAGGUGGUGCAUGGUUGUCGUCAGCUCGUGUCGUGAGAUGUUGGGUUAAGUCCCGCAACGAGCGCAACCCUCGUUCUAUGUUGCCAGCGGGUUAUGCCGGGGACUCAUAGGAGACUGCCGGGGUCAACUCGGAGGAAGGUGGGGACGACGUCAAAUCAUCAUGCCCCUUAUGUCUUGGGCUUCACGCAUGCUACAAUGGCCGGUACAAAGGGUUGCGAUACUGUGAGGUGGAGCUAAUCCCAAAAAGCCGGUCUCAGUUCGGAUUGAGGUCUGCAACUCGACCUCAUGAAGUUGGAGUCGCUAGUAAUCGCAGAUCAGCAACGCUGCGGUGAAUACGUUCCCGGGCCUUGUACACACCGCCCGU